rnacentral:rRNA from 1 species
UUACACAUGCAGUCGAACGAUGAAGCCCAGCUUGCUGGGUGGAUUAGUGGCGAACGGGUGAGUAACACGUGAGUAACCUGCCCUUAACUCUGGGAUAAGCCUGGGAAACUGGGUCUAAUACCGGAUAGGAGCGUCCACCGCAUGGUGGGUGUUGGAAAGAUUUAUCGGUUUUGGAUGGACUCGCGGCCUAUCAGCUUGUUGGUGAGGUAAUGGCUCACCAAGGCGACGACGGGUAGCCGGCCUGAGAGGGUGACCGGCCACACUGGGACUGAGACACGGCCCAGACUCCUACGGGAGGCAGCAGUGGGGAAUAUUGCACAAUGGGCGCAAGCCUGAUGCAGCGACGCCGCGUGAGGGAUGACGGCCUUCGGGUUGUAAACCUCUUUCAGUAGGGAAGAAGCGAAAGUGACGGUACCUGCAGAAGAAGCACCGGCUAACUACGUGCCAGCAGCCGCGGUAAUACGUAGGGUGCGAGCGUUAUCCGGAAUUAUUGGGCGUAAAGAGCUCGUAGGCGGUUUGUCGCGUCUGUCGUGAAAGUCCGGGGCUUAACCCCGGAUCUGCGGUGGGUACGGGCAGACUAGAGUGCAGUACGGGAGACUGGAAUUCCUGGUGUAGCGGUGGAAUGCGCAGAUAUCAGGAGGAACACCGAUGGCGAAGGCAGGUCUCUGGGCUGUAACUGACGCUGAGGAGCGAAAGCAUGGGGAGCGAACAGGAUUAGAUACCCUGGUAGUCCAUGCCGU